UUGAGUGCCAGCUGUGGGGUCAUUGGGCUGCAGAACAUAGAAAUGGGGCCCCAUGAUUGAUAUGAUAUGGUCAAAUCUAUGUUCUGUUAGGACCCAGGGGCAAUCAGCUCAUCCAUGUGGGUGUCUAGAUGUCGAAACAGACCUCACCUGAAGAACCCUUUGCAGCCCUCGCAGGUCAAGGCAUGGAAGUGAUAUCCAGUGGCCCUGUCCCCGCAUACGGCACAGCUCCGCAGUUCAUCUUCUCUGCUUGCCAUCGGCCUGAGGAUGCCCCCUGAGAAUGAGGAAGGCCCCAUGGCAGCAGAGAGCAGCACAAUAAAGAACAACUCAGUGGAGAAGCCAACAGAGAGCAGUGUGAUGGAGGAGCAGAUCUUCAGAGGACUCCAGCUCAGCAGAGAAAGUGGAUCGAGGGGCAGCUAGGUGGUGCAGUGGACAGAGUACCGGCCCUGGAGUCGGGAGUACCUGAGUUCAAAUCUGGCCUCAGACACUUAACACUUACUAGCUGUGUGACCCUGGGCAAGUCACUUAACCCCAAUUGCCUCAAUUAAAAAAGAAAAAAAAAGAAAGUGGAUCGAAGUUCACUAACACCACCAGUAGAUAUUGAUAACUCAACAGGUAAGCAAGCAAUAACUACAGAGGCAGAGAUUUCCAACAGGAACUGACUCUCUCUUAAGACCUAACCAUAGGGCAGCUAGGUGGCACAGUGGAUGGAGCACCAGCCCUGGAGUCAGGAGGAUCAGUUCAACUCCGGCCUCAGACAUUUGACACUUACUAGCUGUGUGACCCUGGGCAAAUCACUUAACCACAAUUGCCUCACAAAAAAAAAAAAGACCUAACCAUGAAUGUUGCUUAACCAUCUGGGUUCCCUGAUUACAUGUGCAUAUAAGUGUCUCUAUAUGUACAUUCCCCCAAUGGUCCUACUUUUAGCCCUACCCCCAAAGCCAUCAUGGAGAUGUGACCGGGUUAUUUCCCCUACAGGUGCUGUAGCACCCACCUUCUCAAUAGCCCUCCUCAAUGUGUCACACUUGUUCCAAUUAGAUAUCCUGUCUCCUACUGGUUGCAUUGUUAUCUAUAAGAGUAUAGCUCUGUGUGUAUUGGGGAAGGGGAGCUAUUUUGUCACUUAUUUCCACCUAAAUAAAUGUCCUGUGCUUUGAACUAA